GUCGCUUAUAGUAUAGCAUCGCGAAGUAUCGCGCUUGUAGUAUCGCAUCGCUAGCAGAUGGGACCCGGCCUAAUCUCGACGCGUCCCACGUGUAUACUGUAGUCCCGCGUAGUAUCACCUGCUAUAGCUGAAAUACAGAGGCGUAACUAAGGCGUUGGCAUUUGGGCAGUUGCCAAGGGCGCCAGAAUCUCUUAAAGCAUAUUGUAAAUUCGCAUAUUAACAUUUGGCUUUAGGUACACUGAUUACAUUAUUGCGUAUAUCAACAAAGAAAGUAUUUUUUUUUAUUUAUUAUUUCUUUUGAAUAAAUAUGAAGGUAUGUAAGAAAUUAAAAAUAAGAGUUGAUUUAAAAAAUACAUAAGAAAUAAAACUAAAUAAUGAAAUUAUAAAAACUUGUUUUGUUGUUUAUUUUAAACAGAUAUUUUAUCAAGUGGUUUCAUUAAUAGUAGGUCUAAUAACAAUUCAUUGCAGAGCACGAAGCCCAGUCGGUAGUUUCUCUAUUUUUUUUUACUUUUUUUGCAAAACAAAAAAGGGCGCCAAGUUUAUAUAUUUGCCAUGGGCGUUAAAAUCCUAGUUAGGCCUCUGCUGAAAUACAAACCAGUUUGUUUUCUGGCUAUCGAGUUCGAUUUACAGAUUCUAAUAAGCGAAAUUUAUAUAAAAACAAACCCUGUAUUAUGGAAAAUGAGAGAUAAAACUUACCAUAAUCAACACUUAGUAAGUAAAUUGGUGGGACGAUAUUUCAUUAUAGACACUACAGAACCGCUUCUUGUGGGAACAGACUGUCGCUCUUAGCAUAGCAUCGCAUCGUACAGAGUCGCGUCGCUUGUACGUGGGAUAUGGCCUUAGAGUUAACUAUAUACAAUGUAAAACAGAUGCCAAUACAGAAUUUAUUACCAUUUUCGAUUUGAUCUUUGAUUUUUACCCAGCAGGGGUUUCAUCGGACUGUUAUCAUUCUCGGGAGACGGAUCGAAAAAUUUGAAAAAAAUUAGAAUUUUCCUGAAUCAUUAGAUCCUUCCCAAUGUAUUCAUUAUAUGUUGAAAAGCAUUAAAACCAGCCAUGAAAAAAUAUUCGGACUCACAGUCCUUCCAAGAAAUCUAUCUUAAUUCCGAUUAUGUAGAUUACCAUAAUUAAUAGUUUCUAAAAAUAAUUCAUCGUUUCGCG
rnacentral:lncRNA from 1 species